rnacentral:rRNA from 1 species
UACGGGGGGAGCAAGCGUUGUUCGGAUUUACUGGGCGUAAAGGGCGCGUAGGCGGCCAGUGCAAGUCAGUUGUGAAAUCUCCGAGCUUAACUCGGAAAGGUCAACUGAUACUGCUCGGCUAGAGUGCGGAAGGGGCAACUGGAAUUCUUGGUGUAGCGGUGAAAUGCGUAGAUAUCAAGAGGAACACCUGCGGCGAAGGCGGGUUGCUGGGCCGACACUGACGCUGAUGCGCGAAAGCUAGGGGAGCGAACGAG